rnacentral:rRNA from 1 species
GACGAACGCUGGCGGCGUGCUUAACACAUGCAAGUCGAACGGAAAGGCCCUGCUUUUGUGGGGUGCUCGAGUGGCGAACGGGUGAGUAACACGUGAGUAACCUGCCCUUGACUUUGGGAUAACGUCAGGAAACUGGGGCUAAUACCGGAUAGGAGCUCCUGCUGCAUGGUGGGGGUUGGAAAGUUUCGGCGGUUGGGGAUGGACUCGCGGCUGAUCAGCUUGUUGGUGGGGUAGUGGCUUACCAAGGCUUUGACGGGUAGCCGGCCUGAGAGGGUGACCGGCCACAUUGGGACUGAGAUACGGCCCAGACUCCUACGGGAGGCAGCAGUGGGGAAUAUUGCACAAUGGGCGGAAGCCUGAUGCAGCAACGCCGCGUGCGGGAUGACGGCCUUCGGGUUGUAAACCGCUUUCGCCUGUGACGAAGCGUGAGUGACGGUAAUGGGUAAAGAAGCACCGGCUAACUACGUG